GACGGAGGGUGCAAGCGUUAUCCGGAAUUAUUGGGUGUAAAGUGUCCUAAGGUGGUUUUUUAAGUCGGAUGUCAAAGCCUGAAGCUCAACUUCAGUCAGGUAUUCGAUACUGGAAAACUUGAGAUCUCGAGAGGCAAGUGGAAUUUUGUGUGUAGGGGUAAAAUCCGUUGAUACACAAAGGAACACCAAAAGCGCAAGCAGCUUGCUGGCGAGUUUCUGACACUUAUGGACGAAAGCGUGGGGAGCGAAAAGG
rnacentral:rRNA from 1 species